AAUCGCACAGAACAACCCCUCUGAGCCAGAGAAAAAAGCUGGAAUCCGUUUGUCCUGAUAUUUCACCAGCACCAGCCAGGAGCGAGGGGAGAGGGAAAGACAGAGGGAGAGAGAAAGGGAGAGAGAGAGAGAGAGGGAGAGAGAGGGGAAAGAGACUGGGGCAGAGAAAAAGGGAUAGAUGGGAAAACGGCAGACCAGGGCUGUAUUUAUUGGGGGUGUGAGUGCCGCGCUGUAGGCUGUGGGAUGGUCGGGAGAGUGCAAGGUGUUGCUGCUAGGUGUGGUUGGGUUUACAGAUGGGGAAGAGCAUGCAUAGAUAGAAUGGUGGAGGCUAAAAAAAAAAAAAAAAAGAGGGAGAGAUGGAAGGAUUGGUCAUGCGCAAGACCGCAGGCCGUUGGAGGCAGCUUAGAAAUCUCUUACAUCUGGAACAGCCAUAAUUCGUGGGAUUUGGCCUGACAGCCAUGACAGGCAUUGGGGCGGCCAGCAACAACUGUCUCCUGUGUUAGCAGCAGUGUGUGUGUUAGCCCCGUGUGUGUGAGACAGACUGAGAAAGACGAAGAGCGAGAGACAAAGAGUGACAAUAUAAAGCAUGUGUGUGUAUACAUGCAACUUUUCUUUAUUUCUACAGGGAGCUUCGGGAAGAUUAGACUCACCUGUACAGCUUCUGCACAACUUUGUUUUUGUGAGUUUGGACACUUUUUAGGGCCUCUGUAUACCUUUAUCAUAUCCAUUCACCGCACAGUGGUGGGAAGUAACUGAAAACAUUUACUAAAUGCUGUGCUUUAAAAGUUUUACCUUAAAUUUGACUAUAUACUUCUACUCCGAUGUGCUUUCUAUUUACAUAUAUCUGACACUGCUCACUGCGCUGCCGAUUCAUACUUUAAAAUAAUAUCGAUAAAUUACAAGUGAGUUUUCAAAUUUUUUUGUUAAAUAUUAAAAUAUUUCACAAUAUAUUAAAUAAGUAGAAUUAGUCUUAUUUCGAUUGGACACAUACAAAUGUAGUGUAUCUAAAAUCUUGAUUUAAAAACAUUUACACAGAAAACAAUAUUGUACACUAAAAUGGGCAUAUUUGCAUAAUUACUGCUUAUUUGUGAUAUUUUUCGUAGAUUUCACAACACAUUAUUCAUCUCUAAGCCACAUGUCGAAUUGGCUUUCACUUAUCUACAAAUAUUUCUUAUAUUAACAAGCGCUUCUUUUACUUGAGUUAAAGUUACAGAUGUUUCUUCGAGCAAUAUUAUGAAUUUGACAGAAAUAAUAAUAAUGCAUCAAUCAUUUUUUAAAAACAACAAAUACUGAUGAUCAUUUCGAGAAAAGAAAAACAUUUUUGAAAUCAUUUUUAAGAUCACCUCGGAUACUGUACAUAUACACCUCGUUCUGUGUUGCUACACUUUUCUACAUACGUAUGCAUGCACACGCAUUCAGGAGAUAUAAACUGACUCGCAGCAGAAAAAGCAGUGCCGUCCAUGUGUUUCAUGGCGUGCCAGAGGCUCCCUGUGUCGGCCCUAAAUAUUACACACAGACAGUAGCUAUCACUUCCAAGCCUGAAAUCCCACAUUCCACAUUCCUGAUUCCAACGGCUCGCCUGCUAAGCUGGGCACCACAUGAAGAGCCAUUGUUAGAGAGAGAGAGGGGUCAUGUAUCUCUCUCGCUCUCUGUCUGUCUGUCUGUCUGUCUGUAGCUCUCUCGGCCUUCCUUCCCUCUCUCGCUUUGUCUCUCCGCCCAUAUAUCUCUCACUGUCACAGUCUCCAUCUGUGACUCUCUUGCUCCGUCUAUCUUUCUAUUUCUCCCUCUGCCGGUUUAUCUUUAUCUCUCUUACUUAUUCCUUUUCUCCUCCGCUGUGCUUCGUCGCCCACUCUCCCACUCACUUUCUCCACCGUCUUGCAUGUGUUUGUUUAUUCCUUUUCUAUACCUUGCUCAGCCUCGUGUCUCCCACUGAUGCUACUUGUCUGUGGCUCUCGUUCUCUUUACAAGACUCUUACUUUGCUUUCCGCUUCUUUUUUUUCUUUGUCUUCCUCCCCUCUGUACCCUGUUGUCUGUCUCUCCAUCUCCCUCUCCCUCUGUGUCUCCAGAUAUUCAUGUAGAGAUUUUCUCACAUGUUAGAUAUAGAUUUAUGACCCCAGCCAGAUCCCCGUGGCCACUAAAUUUGAUACCAUCCACUAAGCCACAUUGUUUUUUUGUGUGUUUGGGCUUGUCUGUUGUGUGUGACUGUGGGUAAGUAUGUAUGUGCGCGCGUGUGUGUGUGUGUGUGUGUGUGUGUGUGUGUGUGUGUGUGUGUGUGUGUGUGCGUGCGCGUGUGUGUGUUCAUGCAUUACAAGGUGGAGGCGGGUGACUUUUAAAGGGUUAGCUUGGGUACGGUGGGCGCAGAGGAGGAAUUUACAGUUUAUUGAAGCACAGCAGUCAGGUGUGUGUGUGUGUGUGUGUGUGUGUGUGUGUGUGUGUGUGUGUGUGUGUGUGUGUGUGUGUGUGUGUGUGUGUGUGUGUGUGUGUGUGUGAGAGAGAGAGAGAGAGAGCGCCUGUGGGUGCCAGGUGACCAGGCUAACCUCUUGGCUGGUGUUUUGGAUUUAGCCUUUGGAUAGCGUAGAAAAAUAAAAAUGGAAUGCUUUUUCAAUUACAGAUCAGAAAGAGAGUGAACAAAGGCAGGAGAAAAGGAAAAGAUGAGUUAUUGGGAUCUAAUAUAUCAAGGCUUUGCACUCCUAAAAUCUGAGUGCAUUAAUUUUAGCUUUUGGAACAUUUUGUACUUGAACAGUUCAGCAGAGUCACAUAAUUUUGCGCAGGUUUUUAAAAAUGAUUUCUGUUGCAAAAGUUGUUGUAUUUUAGGAAACUAUGUAUGUGUCGUAAUUUUUUUUUUUUUUGCAUAAAGCUUACAAGGUGUUCUUUGCGGCAGUUUUUUCGCCCUCCUUGCACGUCGUCUAAUAAUCUAAGAUUCUCAUGCAUUUGACAUCACACUCCUGAGCUGUAUUAUAUUUGCGCUCCGAAGCAUGCACACAUAAGUGCAAAAAUAGAACAUGGGUAGAAUCGAAUAUGAAGACACACAGACGCACACCUGUGGAAGACAGUCGCUGCUACUUUGUUUUUGAUGCAUGUUAUUAAUUCUGACAGUAGUCUGUUUAAAGGUACUCGUCCUCUGCCAUGCAUAUUUUAUUGGCUGUAGGUGGUAUUUGUUGUGUAUUUAUGUCUGUUUGUUUGAAUACUGCAUUCCUUCAACCUAUUCCACAAGUUGUCAAGGGUGGGGUAUUUUAAAAUGGCAUUGUAGAGGAUUGUAAUAUUGAUGUUUGUUUGUGUGAUGUGAAAUGAUAUUCGCCUUUUGAUGUUUGGCUAGGAGGAGAUACACAAAAUAAAAGCCCUGCAAAAUAAAGGUGUGUUUCUGCACAUGUUUGAGUGUGUUCCCUCAAAUUGUUUAUCUGUCAGUCAGUCAGACAGAGUGUGCGCACAUUGUCUGCGCUAGUGCGCGCGCUGCCGUGCAUGUGUGAAUGCGUGCGUGUGUCCAAGUCUACAUCUGAAAGCCAUAUCUGGCUUCAGAUCAAAUGGUGUAUGAAGGAGAGGGAAUGACAGAGAGAGAAAGUGAUAGCUCUUUAAUGUUACCUAUCCACUCUCAAACCCAAAUAUAAGACCAGGAACACACGGAAUAGGCAAGUGUGUUUUAGAGGAAAAGGAGUGACAUGAAACACUUAUGUAGAAAAGCUCUGAACAUGACGUCGGCUUUGUAGCGGGGGGGGUGGGGGGUGGGGGGGGAUGUCUCACGAAACAGAAAGAAAGUGAGUAAAUUGGAUGGAAGGAAGAGAGAAGGCUGGGGCACGGAAUAAAACCGCAACACGCACUUUAUUGUUUGUUUGUGCACGUCAAGGUACAGUGAUAUUUAGUUUUUGACUGAAUACUAACUAUUGUGUCUCAGUUUGUCUUGUUCUGUUCUGAGGUGUCUAAACUUUUGCUGCUGGUGUCUGACGAAGAUGCUUUCAUGACAGCUGCAUUCACGUCCAAAUGACUGAGUUGAUUCAUCAUUUUUAUCUCUGAAAUUAUUAUACUGCUGCUUCUCAAUGAUCACCUUAAUAUGGGAAUCAUUUUGUGCAAAUAUGUUACAAUGUUUUAACAGUCAAGUAAUCUUCGCCCCUGCAGUGACAUAUGUUUUGCCUCUCUCCUCACCUUUGUCCUCCCUGUUUCCUACUUUUUUUGUGAGCAGAAAAGGAUUAAAAAUAUUUACUGUCUACAUUCCUCCUACAAAUCCUUUUUUGAUUCCUGACUUUCCCUCUUUCCUUUCUUUCCCGCUCGUUUUACUCCUAAUUCUGAAGUGCUGUGCUGUGACACAGAUAAGUGCAGAUAUGUGAAUAAAGGUACCUCUGUCUUCCCUUCA